rnacentral:rRNA from 1 species
UGCCAGCCGCCGCGGUAAUACGGAAGGUGCAAGCAUUGUUCGGAAUGACUGGGCGUAAAGCGCGCGUAGGCGGGUUUGUGUGUCGGAUGUGAAAGCCCCAGGCUCAACCUGGGAAUUGCAUCCGAAACUGCAGAUCUUGAAUACCUGAGGGGUUAGUAGAAUUCCAGGUGUAGGAGUGAAAUCCGUAGAUAUCUGGAGGAACACCGGCGGCGAAGGCGGCUAACUGGCAGUGUAUUGACGCUGAGGUGCGAAAGCGUGGGGAGCAAACAGGAUUAGAUA